rnacentral:lncRNA from 10 species
UCUUUUGUAUGCAUUACUUCACAGAAUUUCUGUGGGUACCUUCUGUUUUCUACAGCAGACCUUUGCUUGCCAUCCAGGGUCUCCUCUGCCCUAUCCUCAGUGUCACUUCAUCCCCCAAGGCGAAGACCAGCCUUGCCCACUGGCAGUAAAGGAAUCAGGAUCAUCUUCAUAAAUUAUCAAGUGUAUCCCUCAGGCCUACUCAAUACUCCCUCCCCAGAGAUAACCAAUGUCACCGAGUUGUUCUGGAUUCUUCUGGAGACAGUCUAUGCAGAUCCAAGCAGAUGAGUAUGUUUUCUAAUUAUUACUCAGAUGAUCAGAGCUGAACUUUAAGAAUGAAUUUUCCAGAGAAGGGAAUAUGGAGAAUGAAAAGAAUAGAAUAGCAGUUGAGGCAAAGGGAAAGAUGUCGUAAAGAUGGGAAGUGGGGAGGGCAGGAGAUGGCACAAUAUGUGUGUUGGGGAGCAUAUGACAAGCUGUCCUGUGUUGCUGAGACACUAAGCAUGAAGCAGAGGC